rnacentral:rRNA from 1 species
GAGGAAUAAGCAUCGGCUAACUCCGUGCCAGCAGCCGCGGUAAUACGGGGGAUGCAAGCGUUAUCCGGAAUCAUUGGGCGUAAAGCGCCUGUAGGUUGUUUAAUAAGUCUGUUGUUAAAGACUAGGGCUCAACCCUAGAAAAGCAAUGGAAACUACUAGACUAGAGUAUGGCAGGGGUAGAGGGAAUUUCUAGUGUAGCGGUGAAAUGCGUAGAUAUUAGAAAGAACACCAGUGGCGAAAGCGCUCUACUGGACCAUUACUGACACUCAGAGGCGAAAGCUAGGGUAGCAAAAGGGAUUAGAUACCCCUGUAGUCCUAGCCGUAAACGAUGGAUACUAGAUGUUGUAUUUAUUUUACAGUAUCGUAGCUAACGCGUUAAGUAUCCCGCCUGGGGAGUACGCUCGCAAGGGUGAAACUCAAAGGAAUUGACGGGGGCCCGCACAAGCGGUGGAGCAUGUGGUUUAAUUCGAUGCAACGCGAAGAACCUUACCAGGGCUUGACAUACUGCGAAUCUUUUUGAAAGAAGAGAGUGCCUUCGGGAAUGCAGAUACAGGUGGUGCAUGGCUGUCGUCAGCUCGUGUCGUGAGAUGUUGGGUUAAGUCCCGCAACGAGCGCAACCCUUGUUUUUAGUUACCAAUUCGUUGGGUUUUCUAGAAAGACUGCCGGUGACAAACCGGAGGAAGGUGAGGAUGACGUCAAGUCAGCAUGCCCCUUAUGUCCUGGGCUACACACGUGCUACAAUGGUUAGGACAAAGAGUCGCGAGCUCGCAAGAGCCAGCUAAUCUCGUAAACCUAGCCUAAGUUCAGAUUGUAGGCUGCAACUCGCCUACAUGAAG